AGCCAGGCAGGCAGCUCUUUCCUGGCGCCAGACUGUUUUUCCUAGCAGAAAAGUUUAUGUAACAGCUGUAAAAAUACAAGUGUGCUAUAAUCUGUACUUGCCUCGCAAGCUAAGCUUUCCCGAACUUCCCCACUUUACUGUGCCGGAUUGCUGAAAGCGGUUUAAGAACAAACCACAUUAUAUGGGUGGCUCUAGUAGAAACAAUGCUGUUGAAUUUUUUGAAAAGUGUUGAUUUCUUUAAAAAGAAAAAAAAAAUAUUUUUCUCUUUGAAGAACUACUCUGGCCAUUUUACAUUGUUAUUUCACAUAUUUAAUUUGCAUAAUUAGUAUUGUGGAAAUCAAAGUUCUUCUUGAGACCACCAUGGUCAAUUCAGUUUGAUUUUUCGUGUGUGUGUUUUAACCUUAUACCUAACUGCUGUUUGUCUGUUUUUUUCCUCAAGAACGUAAUAGGUAACAUGGUAUUUGUUAAGCCCUCAAAAGUGACAGAAAGAGCUGGGCUAGGCACAUUGAUGAUUUGAAAACGGUUUUUCAUGAGAUUCAUAAAGAAAUGCACCAGUGUUUUAAUAACAGGUAUUCGUGAUCAACAGCAAUGACAUAAUCAUCACAUUUUGCCUUUCAUAGCACACAUAAACACAUCUUGCCUAGUUCCUCAAAAGGUGUACUUUUUCUUUUAAUAGCGUACAAGCGUGUGUCUGUGUGUGAA
rnacentral:lncRNA from 1 species